UGGGGAAUAUUGCACAAUGGGCGCAAGCCUGAUGCAGCCAUGCCGCGUGUAUGAAGAAGGCCUUCGGGUUGUAAAGUACUUUCAGCGGGGAGGAAGGCGAUAAGGUUAAUAACCUUGUCGAUUGACGUUACCCGCAGAAGCAGCACCGGCUAACUCCGUGCCAGCAGCCGCGGUCAUACGGAGGGUGCAAGCGUUAAUCGGCAUUACUGGGCGUAAAGCGCACGCAGGCGGUCUGUCAAGUCGGAUGUGAAAUCCCCGGGCUCAACCUGGGAACUGCAUUCGAAACUGGCAGGCUAGAGUCUUGUAGAGGGGGGUAGAAUUCCAGGUGUAGCGGUGAAAUGCGUAGAGAUCUGGAGGAAUACCGGUGGCGAAGGCGGCCCCCUGGACAAAGACUGACGCUCAGGUGCGAAAGCGUGGGGAGCAAACA
rnacentral:rRNA from 1 species